AAGACUAUAGACCUGCGGAGUACCUGCGGAAGGAUCAUUAUCGAGUUUUGAAACGGGUUGUAGCUGGCCUCCCGAGGCAUGUGCACGCCCUGCUUCAUCCACUCUACACCUGUGCACUUACUGUAGGUUUCAGGAGCUUCACGGGCUUUCAUUAGUCCGGGUUGUAACUGGGCUUACGUUUACUACAAACUCUUAUAAAGUAUCAGAAUGUGUAUUGCGAUGUAACGCAUCUAUAUACAA
rnacentral:misc_RNA from 1 species